rnacentral:rRNA from 1 species
CAUGCAAGUCGAGCGGUAAGGCCCUUCGGGGUACACGAGCGGCGAACGGGUGAGUAACACGUGGGUGACCUGCCCCUACUCUGGGAUAAGCCUGGGAAACUGGGUCUAAUACCGGAUAUGACUACUGGUUGCAUGACUGGUGGUGGAAAGUUCUUCGGUGGGGGAUGGGCCCGCGGCCUAUCAGCUUGUUGGUGGGGUGAUGGCCUACCAAGGCGACGACGGGUAGCCGGCCUGAGAGGGCGACCGGCCACACUGGGACUGAGACACGGCCCAGACUCCUACGGGAGGCAGCAGUGGGGAAUAUUGCGCAAUGGGCGGAAGCCUGACGCAGCGACGCCGCGUGGGGGAUGACGGCCUUCGGGUUGUAAACCUCUUUCGGCCCCGACGAAGCGUGAGUGACGGUAGGGGUAGAACAAGCACCGGCCAACUACGUGCCAGCAGCCGCGGUAACACGUAGGGUGCGAGCGUUGUCCGGAAUUAUUGGGCGUAAAGAGCUCGUAGGCGGUCUGUCGCGUCGAUCGUGAAAACUUGGGGCUUAACCCUGAGCUUGCGGUCGAUACGGGCAUGACUGGAGUUCGGCAGGGGAGACUGGAAUUCCUGGUGUAGCGGUGAAAUGCGCAGAUAUCAGGAGGAACACCGGUGGCGAAGGCGGGUCUCUGGGCCGAUACUGACGCUGAGGAGCGAAAGCGUGGGGAGCGAACAGGAUUAGAUACCCUGGUAGUCCACGCCGUAAACGGUGGGCGCUAGGUGUGGGGGCCAUUCCACGGUCUCUGUGCCGUAGCUAACGCAUUAAGCGCCCCGCCUG